rnacentral:rRNA from 1 species
AUGGCGUCCUCCGGGAGCGCUUCUUGGGUUAUACUUGCGCUGCUCCUCUUCAUCACUCUGGCUGCCACCGCCAAUGGCGACGAGCUCUCCGCGAGUUACUAUGAGAAGACGUGCCCCAACGUGCAGCACGUCGUGCGGUCAGUGAUGGCGAGCAGCGUCGCCGCCCAGCCAAGGAUGGCGCCCGCCGUCCUCCGCCUCUUCUUCCACGACUGCUUCAUCAACAAAAGAUAG